rnacentral:lncRNA from 1 species
AAGGUCUAAGCUGCUAUUUAUCUUAUUCCUAGCAUUGCUAAGUUCUAGAGAUUUAUUUUCAAAAACCCAAAAUCUUACAUGAUGAGCUCUUGUAUGAUAAAGUUUAAAUUCCUACCAAAGACAUAUAUGAUACAUUUAGAGUUAGGAAAACCUUUGUGCAUUCAUGCUGCUUGCUUUACAUUGAGUUAGUCAACCUUUGUUGUAUACUUUAUGAAAGUCUUGUCAUGCUUUUAAAAUCAAGAUCACUCACGCACUCCAUCUACAUAUGCAUUGCUCCUACUCUGGGAGUAAGCGCAAUUAUUUUCUAUUCUCAUCUAGGUCCACCUUAAAAAUGUUUUUUCUCCUACACUAGGAGUAAACAUCUAGAAAUAUAGCCUAUAGGACAGCCCCCACUUAAUUUCUCUAAGUUCUUAAAAGGAUGCAUGUGGCUAUGCAAAAGUAUUAAAAAAUAAAAAAAGGGAGUAAAAGAUGGAUAUAUCAAUGCCCGCCUCCCACAAUAAUAAAAAAAGAGAAUAAAGAUAGCCCAUAUUUUCCUGCGAAAAGUUUUAAGGAGGGAGUAUUUUUCAAAGAGCAAAAGUAGAAUUAGGAUUAGCCACUAAACACUAUAUACACACCUAUCCACCACAUUCCACACACACAUAUCUUAAUUUGAUUGUAUGCCUUGAUUCUCUGUGGAUCCAUUAUUUGACUUUACAAUAUAUGAAUUGCAAGUAUGCUCAUCCUUGUUAUUGCCACUCCUAUAAGCUCCACUAUAUAUAUCCUUAGUUGUAGGAAGGCAUAACCUCAUUAAUGCCAUAGUGAGAUCCAUAAAUACUACAUAAUAAGAGACUUGAGGGUGUCAUACAAUUAAGCUUUGAGUUUUAUUUUGAAAACUCGCAAAACCCUAGAAUAUUGGUAUUGUGAAGAAUUUGAGACAUAGUGCUU